ensembl:lncRNA
CGGCCAUUCGGCAUUCCUCAGCUGUGAAUUCUUUGUUUAGCUCUGAACCCCAUUUUUUAAUAGGGUUAUUUGUUUCCCUGCGGUCUAACUUCUUGAGUUCUUUGUAUAUUUUGGAUAUAAGGCCUCUAUCUGUUGUAGGAUUGGUAAAGAUCUUUUCCCAAUCUGUUGGUUGCCGUUUUGUCCUAACGACAGUGUCCUUUGCCUUACAGAAGCUUUGCAGUUUUAUGAGAUCCCAUUUGUCGAUUCUUGAUCUUAGAGCAUAAGCCAUUGGUGUUUUGUUCAGGAAAUUUUUUCCAGCGCCCAUGUGUUCCAGAUGCUUCCCUAGUUUUUCUUCUAUUAGUUUGAGUGUGUCUGCUUUGAUGUGGACGUCCUUGAUCCACUUGGACUUAAGCUUUGUACAGGGUGAUAAGCAUGGAUCGAUCUGCAUUCUUCUACAUGUUGCCCUCCAGUUGAACCAGCACCAUUUGCUGAAAAUGCUAUCUUUUUUCCAUUGGAUGGUUUUGGCUCCUUUGUCAAAAAGCAAGUGACCAUAGCAGUUGGUGCAGAUUAGCUAGCCCUGAAGAAUUGGCUACCAUUCACAGAAGUAUCAUAGAGGUGAGAUUUUCUUAAAAGUGUUUCCUUGAGGUCAAUAUACAGAAGGUGUGAUCUGGAUGUAGUUAAGGCUAUCUCAAAUUGGAAGUUGAACUUGGUAAUGUGUAAGAGUCUAUCACAUGGUACUGGUUUUGGCAAUAUAAAUCCUGAGUUUUCAAAGAUUCAUCAGGAGCAGCUAAGGCAUGGCACCACGUGGUAAAAUCAGAGUUCCUGAGAAGAGGCCAGGAGGUCAUUGUAGGUCCUCAGAAUAAAGGAGAUAUGUAGGCAUAUAUUUUUCCCAAACUACUUUACUAAGCAUUCAACCUCCCCUCUAGCCCACCACCCACCAGAGGUGGUGGAAAAGAAAGGUUAUUUGGACACACAGGAAGUCCACUUGGCAGUCACCACACAGGAACCAACAAGGGCAGCUCAGUGUACAAGAACCCAUAAGACUCGCCAUCUGGCCAAAGACUAAGGAAGAAGCAAGAAGCCUCAGGAACCUCAGGGAAAGUUCUAAGCCUAGUUUUUCUCUAUGUUCCCACAGGCAGAGCUCAGCAACACAGGGUAAAGUAAAACCAGUGCAUGCAUAUCACUAUUGAAGAAUAGAAAGGUGGAGCAAAGCAAGCCAAUGCUUAAGUUCCCACUGUCUAUGGCACCAUGCUUUUAUUCUUCCUGAACAUUGUGUGUCCUUUAACAUGGUUGCUAUAGCAGAGUUUCUGUGUCUUUUUCAGAAAAUAAAUUCCUUCAUGUGUCUGCUUUAGCAAAACCACAUUUGACCUGUGUUCCCCCAGUAACAUAUCACUUGUCAUAACUGACUUUCCAAAGAUCUCAGAAGUUUUCACUUCAGAGAUAUCAUGACAGUGCAGUGAUUACAAAGACAGGGUAGCUUAAGAGUGCAGCUAUCCCAAGAUUGUGAGGUAAGUUGUGUGUGUUGAUGUGGCAGACUGAGGAAAGUGUAGCUCCACAAGGUCUUUGAUGUUCAGAAGGUCGUGAAUUCUGUAUGUCAGAUACUGAGCUAUUUACAUUGUCACAUUUCAGUUUUGCUUUUAUCUGAUUAUAAUUAUGCAUUGUUUUCCCCUUUUGAAAUAAGAUUUGACUAAUUAUGAAUUUUAUAGGACCC